rnacentral:rRNA from 1 species
GAUGAACGCUGGCGGCGUGCCUAAUACAUGCAAGUCGAGCGGCAAGAUAGGAAGCUCUUGCUUUUGCGGGUGGCGGGGGGCGGGUGGGUAACGCGUGGAUAGGAUUCUUCUCUGACGUGGAUGACUUCGGGGAGCCGGUGAUGCUAAUGGCUAAUAUGUUGUACCGCUGGGUUCAGUGGUGCAUGGCGGCUUUCGUGUUUCUUUUAGAUGAUGUCGGGCCGGAUUAGCUAGUUGGUAAGGUAACGGCCUACCAAGGCGACGAUCCGGAGCCGAGCUGAGAGGGUGAUCAGCCACACUGGAACUGAGACACGGUCCAGACUCCUACGGGAGGCAGCAGUAGGGAAUCUUGCGCAAUGGGCGAAAGCCUGACCGAGCAACGCCGCGUGAGUGAGGAAGGCCUUCGGAUCGUAAAACUCUUUUGUCGGGGAAGAACAAAGGCAUAUUUAACCGCACACGUCCUGACGGUACCUAAACAAUAAGCCACGGCUAACUACGUG